rnacentral:lncRNA from 1 species
CGAUUCCCACAUCUGAUCAUCAGCCAUGGGAACAUCUGUGACCUCUGACCUCAAACACACACACACACUAACAAAGGCACAGACAUGUCAGUAGCUAAACCCCACUGACACACAGCGCCCCCUAGUGAACACGAGUCUUCUUCCUCUUACGUUUUACACUGAAAGUCUCUACGUCCUCAUGGACGUCUGGAAACACUGAGCCUCCAAACGCUGCACUACACAUGUGAGUUUCCCACACACACUCAUUUUGGCAGGAGCCCCGUUCUCCCCCCCCACACACACACACACACACACAGAUGUCUCAGCUCCAUCCUCCAGACCUUCAGUCGUCUCUUCUUUGUUCAGCUGUGAUGAUCUUCAUAAGGAUCCUGCUGUGUGUGUCUGUGCUGCUGAACACUGGUAACACUAGCAGUGAAGAACUGGAUCGAUUCCUCCAGGAAAAAGGUGAUGAUGAUGAUAAUGAAGAGGAGGAGGCGGUUACCGUGACAAUAUUCACUGCAGCUCCAGAGGAGGGCGGGGCAAAUGUUGGAAACAUAGCCUCACUUCCUGUCAGUCAGGAAACGUGGACGCUGCUGUGGACUGUGAUCAUCCUGAGUUCAACAUAGAUACACGUCUAUAGAUAGAUAAAUAUAGACCUGUAUCUAAGAUAUAUAUAUAAGAGAGUACGUUUCCAUUGAGCACCAAUCUGACUCCACAGAUUAAUCUUUUUUGCUGCCAUUCUCACAGAUCACCAACAAACAUCAAUGGAGGCCAAAUUCUGUGAUGAUUCUCUGAACCAAUCAGUGUCUGUGUUGAUACGUCACAUGUUCAGUCCUGAGGUUUAUUCCAUAAAGUAGGUUAUGUUCAAACUCUGAGUAUCUCAUUCCUAAACAUGAGGUACAGUAUGUUUAUCUCUGAGUAUGUUACCAUGGUAACAUUGUCCAUGAACUAAACCUGGUCACUGACAGGUUUUAUCAAAGAAACCCUGGGUUUCUACCUGGCUCCGCCCACCUGAACACUUUAAUGAACCUUAACACUUUUCUCUGAAACACAUUAGUGACAUCACACACCACAGACGUGUUCACA